ensembl:lncRNA
CAUCAGUCCUACACUCUCAAGAACCUAAAUUCUGCCAACAGCCACGAGGGUUUGGGCGAAGACCCUGAGCUCCAAAAAGGAUUGCAGCUUCCUGAGACUCUGAGCAGACGAUCCAGCUCCACAGUUGACACAGAGGCACUGGGGCUUACUCUAGGAGUCAGUCCUUGGAGCACAGGAGUUCGCUGUCAUUUGCAAACUCACCACCGACUGGAAGCAAAGCUAGAAGACGGGGCUGCCAAAGCCAACCACCGCAACCUGUGGCAGGCUCCCCUGCCUGGGCUCUCCCACUGCCCUUGGAGUGAGAUCCCUCCCCCUCAGUCCUGCACAGCGACGUGGCUGGCUGCAGCUUUCCCCGCACCUGUCCAACCUCCUGGUUUUGGCAGAAUGAAGUGAGGAGACAGCUGGAGUGAUUAUAGUUCAUCUGUUUGAAGGUUGCCCAGAUGAAAAACAAACAAACAAAUCUGGUGAGUCUCAUGUUUCUUUUAAGUGUACAGAAAUGCAGCUGCUAAGUUGUGUAGGAGAUCAAAGGAACCUUUUAAAUUCAAGACACCAAAGUGUUCUCCUUCCUGUUUUGAUCCUUGGUGGAGAUUUGUUAGCAAACUUUAGAAGGAAGUUACAGAAGAGGAUUAGGUGUAUUAAACUCAUCUGAGCUGUGAAAAGUUCUUCGUAAAGCUCAUUGUGUGUUCAUUGCAGAUUUAUGUGGAGAAUGUGACAGUGUAGUGAGCCCAGAGGUUGUGUUUUGGGGGAUUGGACUCAACUGAAAGUAGAAAAACAUUUCUUUAAUAGAGAAAUAAGGUAAUAUGACUAUUGCCUAUGAAUUAUCAAUUAGUGAGAAAUCUUUUCUGAAGCAUUCAAUAAUUUUAGUACUUUGAGUAAAAUGAAAUGUAAUCUUAGCUCCCAAGUUUGAAAUUGUCUCUUAAAAAUAUCAAGGCAUUGUAUAGGUAAAUUACUGGCAUUUUAUUUUCAGUGUACAUUGCAAUAUUUUAAAUAGCUUGCACUUCAAAUAAUUGGGGCAAACACAAUGUAUAUUAAUUAUUUUCUAUUAGUACCUUAACGAUCGUUAAUUUUCUUAGCAUUUUAACUUGUAAAAGUUAAAAUGUGAAAUUUAUUUUCAUUGUGGGUUACAACAGAAAAAGUAUUUGAAUAUUAAAGUUUUCUGAACAUAAAAAUCUUAAACAUAUAUUUAAAGUCACAAUUACAAUUGUAUUUUGGUCAGAAUUGGUUAGUAGGCUAGUUUGUAAACGGUAUGUAUGUUAAAGUCAUUUUCUUUACCUUGAACAUGUUUUAAAUGACUUCUUGAUCCAUCUCACUGCUCUACUUAGUAGCAGAAAAUUAGAAAAUACUAUAUAAAUAGGACUAAAGCAAAUGUACUCACUAAUAUAUUUUUCUUGUUUUGUUGUUCAUAAUGUUUGUAUUUGUGAUAAAAUCUAUUUUGGUUAUUUUGAGAUUUUUUUUCCCUUUAUUUGUUCUCCAGACUCAAUAAGUUGCUUUCAGCUAAGUAUUUUUUUCCUGGCUAAAAUAAUAUAUCUAAAAAAUUAAUUUCCAUCUGGGAUCGUUUUAAUCCACAACUUUGAGAACUGUUUAAUACUUAUUUAGUCAACUUUGAAUCUUAUUUUAACAGCAUUUAAGGGGCUUAUGAGGGGGAAAGAGAAACUGAGUGUGGAAGAGGCUCUUGAAUUAAAAAUGUAUAAAGGUUAAACAUCAAACACUCGUGACUAUCAUCAUAAUAAUUCUAAAUUGCAGCCGACUAUGGACAUUGAUCUCUUUCUCCAAUAAAUCUUAACCUCCUUGACAUAUUUGUUCUUCUGUUGACCUGAUUUUCAUUUUCUUAGCCUCUGGGAUGUUAGCUCCAUAAAAGGUAGGUUUGCGGGCAGGAUCCCCCAAAGGUAGGUUUUUAUUUCAGCUUCCUAUUAGGCAGCUUACCAGGAGAAUUCCAAAUGAGGUGCUGGUUGGGUACUCUAUCUCAGGGUGAUCUUGUCAAAUUACUGAGAUGUGGCAUUGGUUGGUUCUCAGGUGGAAGGCAACUGAUUACUUGUAUCUAUCUAAUUUUUAAAUGAUGUGUGUAGAAUUUUGAAAAUAAAACUUUAAAAAGUUUAUAGUCAUUCACCAAAAAAGCCAUGUUUGUUUACCCUCCAAUUUGAAGAUUGAUUCACAAACACUUUGAUUUGGUGAUUGGAAUAUGGUUUGACUGUUGGAAAGGAAGUACAAUUGUUCAUCUUCUGCCUUCUAUGUUAAAUGCUUGCAUUUCUAUUAUUUUGGUAUAAUUUAAGUUUUUAUUUUCUAAUUUAUAUAUUUUAAAAUAAAGCCCUUCAAUUUCUAAAAUAAAGCCUAUAAUAUUAAAAAUAAAUUUCACUGGACAUUUGACUGAGAUUUAUUUUUCACAGGGAGCAAGAGCAUGAGAGUUGAAAACUUUAUCAGAUAGUUGCUUUUAAAUUCAAACCAAAAUAUUAAUUCAUGUGAGUUUUGAAAAAAAAUCUUAAAUAUGAAACAUGUUUAUUUUAGAGAAAUGAGAAGAUACAGAAAAGUACAGAAAUGUUUAUAAAAACCACCCAGACUCAACAGAAACAAACAGCUAUUAAAUAUCAUGGUAUAUUUGCUAGUGUAAAAUGCAUAUGUAUAUUUUAAAAAUUGGAAUCAUACUGUACACAAACUCUAUCUUGCUUUUUUUCCCCCCACAAAACAUUAACUAUUUUAAAGCAUUCUGGGCUAUUUUUAGUAACUAUAUAAUAUCCUGCAAAGUGGAUAAACCAUAAUUUUAUUUUAUUUUAUUCAUUUAGUUUUUCAAUUUUUAAGUUCAGGUGAUAUAUGUGCAGGCUUGUUACAUGGGUAAAUUGUGUGUCACGGGGGUUGGGUGUACAAAUGAUUUCAUCUCUCAGGUAGUGACCAUUGUACCCAAUAGGUGGUUUUUUGACUCUUGCCCUCUUCCUGCCCUCCAUUCUCAAGUGGUGUCUAUUUUUCCCCUUUUUGUGUCCAGAUAAACCAUAAUUUAAAAAUUCCUUUGUUGAUAUUCAAACAUUCAUUUUAUAUUAAGAGGAUACAAGCUGAUUUUCUUGGUACAAUGUGUUUUAGAUAUUUAAAACAUUGGCUCUUUCAUAUUCUCCAAAUCUGGAUAUUUUCAAUUCCCCAAAAUGGAAUACUUCAUUAUGGAAAUAGAUAAGGGAGGAUUUCUACUCCUAAAGUGAUUUCUACUCCUUCAUUUUAAUUUGAACAAUAAGCAUUGCAAACAUCUUUUAUUCUGGCUAAUGUUGACUGAGUUUUACAAGAUUCAUUUAAAAAGACUUGAUAGGCCAUUAAUAUAUCAAGGGAACACCUUGUAAAGAUUCUCCUUUCAAAACCAUUUAGAACACUUUUCUCUCUGAAGAGUACCAUUACACUAGUAUAUUUGCAAGCAAUAGGAUAUUUGGCUUUAUUAAAAUUCUCAAAGUUCUUUUGAUACUACUUCUAUCUCUAAUAUAUCAGUAGUAGUGUCAGCUGAGGACUAUGGUUUUAGAUGGGUUAUUUAAUCAGUAGGGGGCGAUGGAUUUUUUUAAAAAACUAAUUAUCAGCUACGAGCUUAAAAUAGCAUCUGGCUAGCAGUCCUUAACUCAACAGUUUCCCACUUUUCCACUAAACUCUUAGAAAUGUGUUUUAAAAAGGAAUUUAUAAUACUUUCAAAGACCAACACUGAUAGUUGACCUAUUGCUAGUACCUGGGAGAAAUGUCCCUGGACUAGAACAUAUCAGUGAUUUAAGUUUCAAUGUAAUCAGAAAAUAGAAAAAAACAAAACAAAACAUCAUCCACAUUGUGUCUUUCUUAUUAUUAACUCCUAACUUACAGCCUCACAAUCUAUAUAGAAAAAGGAACUGAAUAUUUACCCCUUAACCUGGUGCUGCUUUUGAGGAAGUCAAAGUACUU